CAGGUCUUGACAUACUCGUGUAUCGUUAGGAUAAGGAGUUCCUUCGGGGCACGGGGUUCCAGGUGGUGCAUGGUUGUCGUCAGCUCGUGUCGUCAGAUGUUGGGUUAAGUCCCCGCAGCAGAGCGCACCCUUAUUACUAGUUGCCAUCAUUAAGUUGGGCACUCUAGUGAGACUGCCGGUGAUAAACCGGAGGAAGGUGGGGAUGACGUCAAAUCAUCAUGCCCCUUAUGACCUGGGCCACACACGUGCUACAAUGGAUGGUACAACGAGUCGCCAACCCGCGAGGGUGCGCUAAUCUCUUAAAACCAUUCUCAGUUCGGAUUGCAGGCUGCAACUCGCCUGCAUGAAGUCGGAAUCGCUAGUAAUCGCGGAUCAGCACGCCGCGGUGAAUACAUUCCCGGGCCUUGUACACACCGCCCCGUCACACCACGGAAGUUGGGAGUACCCAAAGUAGGUUGCCUAACCGCAAGGAGGGCGCUUCCUAAGGUAAGACCGUAUGA
rnacentral:rRNA from 1 species